rnacentral:rRNA from 1 species
CGAACGUGGGUAACCUGCCUUAUAGUGGGGGAUAGCCUUUCGAAAGGAAGAUUAAUACCGCAUAAGAUUGUAGUAUCGCAUGAUAUAGCAAUUAAAGGAGCAAUUCGCUAUAGGAUGGACCCGCGUCGCAUUAGCUAGUUGGUGAGGUAAUGGCUCACCAAGGCGACGAUGCGUAGCCGACCUGAGAGGGUGAUCGGCCACAUUGGACUGAGACACGGCCCAGACUCCUACGGGAGGCAGCAUG